rnacentral:lncRNA from 1 species
UGAACAUAAAUAUAGUGAGUAAUCAUGCAUGCAGGGCAUGUCUCAAAUGAUUUAUACAAUAAAUCAAACAUAAGGGACCUUACAAAUUUUAUGGUAAAAGAACCAAGAGCAGACACUGAAGUGUUGCAAUGCAACCUAAGGAAAACCCGAUACAUCUUUUGUCUAAUAUGCGUAUGAAAUUCUCGCACAAAAUGGGAUGUCUUCUUAAGAUUGCCCCCCUUAAAACUUUGGUAAGUAUAUCAAAUAUUGGCAUAAAUGGAGGAAGCUGCUACUAUUCCACAUAAUAGUGGCUACUAUUAAACACAUGAUAUUGGAUCAUGCACGCACACUGGCAGAGUGCCUUAUUUUCAUGUUCAACGUUACUUCUUUGACUGUACCGUUGAUAAUCUGGUUCAACACAAGCAGUGGCACAACUUCAGAAGUCAAAUUUCAAGAAUCUUUAUUCAAGAGGUCAAAUGAAUUAAAAAUAUCAUGAGUAACAAACAUUCAUCCUGGUACUAUAAAUGUGCAUUUAUAGAAAAUACGUGAAUGAGAGGUAUCUUUUUUCAAUAAUUUCUUGUUAGGACAGAAAAGUAUUAGUACCUUUGCUCAAUCCCUCAAGUAGUAGAAAGGAUCACUGCUUAUUGUGAACGUGAACUCCUGACCAGUUUUCAAUGAGGCAAAUCUUGAAUACUAAUUUCUGGGCCCUGAAUAUGUUAAAUCUAGCUUAUAUCAGAGCAAAUAAGUUGGAAUAUGAUGAAAGAAGGGUCGGCAUAAAAAGGGUUUGAUUACACUAUGUAUUGAUAGAGCAAAAUCAUGUGCUUGCAUGCGCAUGCCAGACUUAUAAUUGACUCGUCCAUAAGAGUCUACAAGCAUGGUCUCAACUCUUUCACCAAUUCAAUAACUUUCUGGUGCGAUGCAUGGUCUCCAUGUGACAUAUUAGCCGAGCCACAUUGAUGUCAUCCUCAGCAAAAUCCUAGAUAAUCUCCCUUGUGUUAGUUGAGGGACCAACUGUGCACAUAAUCCUCAUUUUGUGCCUAACAUUUGGUUUAGACCACCACAUACACAUUGGCUGAUGUACUGUUAUUUGAUGAAUAUCCAUAAGAUGCUGGUAGUUCUCGUGUUCCUGUCAAGAAGUUUUCUUACAAUUAAUUUCAAUGCAUCAAUUCAUAAGGUUCCUUACCCACAGAACAAUGCAUUAUAUUCCAUGGAGUUAGUGUUCAACAAUUAGUAGAGACAUAUGACAUGAUCAUUUUGCACUUCACAUUACUAAGAAGACGACAUGAGGUAAUACCAAAUGCAUUUGAUUAAACCACAGUUCACUCGAAGAACAAGAUCACAACCAAAUAAGUUGAUUACAUUUCAAGCAAGUGUGCGGAUAACAAAAACAGCAGCAGGUGUUCAAUUCAAACAUAUAUAUAUAUAUGCAGACAUACAAUACGUAUACAACUACAAAAAUUAGCCUCCUGGUAAGUUGAGAUGGCAAUACAUGUAAGAACUAUACCAAACUAACCUGAGUAUUGUUCAAAAACAAUUGAUAUGUGCUCUCACCAUAGAGCACGGAUCAUAACAUAUAAUUCAGAGAUACGUGUGUGC